rnacentral:rRNA from 1 species
UACGGAGGGGGCUAGCGUUGUUCGGAAUUACUGGGCGUAAAGCGCGCGUAGGCGGCUUUGUAAGUCAGAGGUGAAAUCCCGGGGCUCAACCUCGGAACUGCCUUUGAUACUGCGGGUCUUGAGUCCGAUAGAGGUGGGUGGAAUUCCUAGUGUAGAGGUGAAAUUCGUAGAUAUUAGGAAGAACACCGGUGGCGAAGGCGGCCCACUGGAUCGGUACUGACGCUGAGGUGCGAAAGCGUGGGGAGCAAACAGG